GACGAACGCUGGCGGCGCGCUUAACACAUGCAAGUCGAACGGUAAGGCUCCAGCUUGCUGGGGUACACGAGUGGCGAACGGGUGAGUAACACGUGGGUGACCUGCCCUGCACUUCGGGAUAAGCCUGGGAAACUGGGUCUAAUACCGGAUAGGACCGCACCGUGAGGGUGUGGUGGAAAGUUUUUUCGGUGUGGGAUGGGCCCGCGGCCUAUCAGCUUGUUGGUGGGGUAAUGGCCUACCAAGGCGGCGACGGGUAGCCGGCCUGAGAGGGUGGACGGCCACAUUGGGACUGAGACACGGCCCAGACUCCUACGGGAGGCAGCAGUGGGGAAUAUUGCACAAUGGGCGGAAGCCUGAUGCAGCGACGCCGCGUGGGGGAUGACGGCCUUCGGGUUGUAAACUCCUUUCACCAUCGACGAAGGGUUUCUGACGGUAGAUGGAGAAGAAGCACCGGCUAACUACGUG
rnacentral:rRNA from 1 species